UGGAUACUUGAAAAAGUCUAAUUGUUGUGACCGGUUUAAAUGGUACAAUAUGAGUUGAUAUAAGCGUUUUUGGCUUUUUGACCAAUUCAAUGUUAAUAAUGAAUGGUAUCAGAAGCCUUAAUCAUAAACAAACAAAGUAUCAAACAGCUAAUUUAUGUGAAUAGUUAAUGACAAAAUUUUUAUUCAAAAAGCGCGUUCAGAUGAAAUCAAAUAACAGCGUAAAUAAUCACUAUUUUACUUUGAUUACGCUAGUUUGGUUAUAAUUAACUCUUAUAAAACUUGUGAUUUUGAAAUUCGAUAUGUAUUGCUUUGAUUUGACUUGAAGCCUUUAGAAUCUUGGAAUAUAUAAAUCACCGUCUAGCUCGUGAAAAGCAAAUCCUUGACUACCAUUGGCUCAGCCAAAAGCGAACCAGGCUAACGAUCCAAGAGAUCGUAUCCAUCAUUUACAAGGAUACUCCAAAACAUCUACAUAUGGCCGCUGCUUCUAACGUUUCACACCAUUUGUAUAAGUUAUUGAAAGAUGAGAAGAUAGAGUCGCCUGAUGAACUGCAUUACUCGCUGAAAAAGCCAAGCAUUUGACUGAAUAAAAAAGACCUUCACCAAUAUUGUUUAUGCUUAUUAUUUUUCUAUUGUACAUCUUCCCUUGUGAUAUUAUGAGAAAAGAGAGAUAGAGAUAUGCUUGAGCUCAAUGUUUAUUCUGAAGUUUCUCUUGGAAUAUGUAUCUACUGUUUUAUAUGAUGAAUUUACUGUUGGUGAGAGCUUAGUUCGAAUACUUGUUUAAGAUUUUAUUUGAUUUUUCUUUCAAUAAUUCAUUGCAUUUAAAUAUUAUACAAAUUAUACAAUAAGUUCAACAGUGGAUAAUAAAAAGUCAGUUUUUACAGAAUGAAGGAAGAAAUGUAAGUGUAAUUUGGCUAUAAUCAUAAAUAAAAAUGUAUUUUAUAACUUAA